rnacentral:rRNA from 1 species
AUUGAACGCUGGCGGCAUGCCUUACACAUGCAAGUCGAACGGUAGAGUAGCAAUACUUGAGAGUGGCGAACGGGUGAGUAAUAUAUCGGAACGUGCCCAGUCGUGGGGGAUAACGUAGAGAAAUUUACGCUAAUACCGCAUACGAUCUAUGGAUGAAAGCGGGGGAUCGCAAGACCUCGCGCGAUUGGAGCGGCCGAUAUCAGAUUAGGUAGUUGGUGAGGUAAAGGCUCACCAAGCCGACGAUCUGUAGCUGGUCUGAGAGGACGACCAGCCACACUGGGACUGAGACACGGCCCAGACUCCUACGGGAGGCAGCAGUGGGGAAUUUUGGACAAUGGGCGCAAGCCUGAUCCAGCAAUGCCGCGUGCAGGAUGAAGGCCUUCGG